rnacentral:lncRNA from 1 species
UCUCCCCCUCAUCAUCAAAAAGAAAAACUUAAUUGGCAAAGAAAAAAGAUAGCAAAUAUAUAUAUAUAUUUUUUUUAUAAAUUCGAAAACAUGUAUUCUUCUCCCCCUUCAUCAUAAAAAAGAAAACAUAAAGGAAAAGAAUAAGAGUAGGAAAUUUGUUACCCAUGUUGUCCGAAUAGAAAUUUCGACAAAAUCUCCCCCUAACAACAAGCAUCACCUCAAAGACAAAUUUAGUAAUAUUACUCAUAAAUUAUCAUCAUAUCUCAAAAUCAUCAAGUACUCACCAUAAUCACAUAUCAUCAAAAUCAUCAAAAGAAUAUUCAAAGUGCAUAUUAUUCUCCUUCUUUUAACAAUAUUGAAAUGAUAGAUUACUUUGUCUCCCCCUUUAGACAAUAAAAAAGUUCAAAAUGCAUAUUAUCCAAAAUCAUAUUAUAUGCUCCCCUAAAUAUAUGGCCAAUUAAAAUUUUAACCACACUAAUUUUAUCCAAAAAUAUAUCACUUUUAUCUCCCCCUUUAUCAUAAAAAAAUAGAUAGAUGCAAUUGAAACAAAAGUAUGAAAAAUAAUUCGAUAAAGAUAUUACCAAUUUUGUGCGAGGAAAAAUUUCGGCAGAGUCUCCCCUUAAAAUGCACAAAUCCUCAAAUACACAACAUGGUUAAAAACGCUUCCAUAUAAGCUUAAACAAUUAUACCAAACCAACAACUCCGUCAAUUCAUCAAGCAACACACAUAUAAUCACUAUAAAUCCAUGCCUAUACCAAAAAGAAUAUCUCAAUGAUUAAUAAAAAAAAUUGAGCGUGCAAUUAACUAAAGAGUCAUAUUCAUUCUAAGAAUUCAAAAAAUAUAAUCCAAAUAUAAAUUAUCCAAAUUUUAAACAACCAUCAUCCGUAAUCCAUAAUUAAAAUAAUUAUGCAUAUGAAAAUGUAGGUGCAUAAUAUAAUAAGGAACCAUGGUAAUUUAAAAUACCCAAAAUGCACAAAUUCGGUUUUGUAAAAUAAUGAGUGAAAUGGAUUAUUUGAGCCAAGAAAAUCGAUCCUAGAGAUGAAUGAAGCUAAUAUAUGAUGUAGAUUGGAUCAAAAAUGGGCUAAAGGAAGCUUGAAAAUAUAGAGAGAGAAACGGGUAGUUAGGUUUUUGAUUUUGGGUUUUAUGUGGAGAGUUGAUGAAAUGAAGUUUUGAGAACGAAAAUUGAAGGAGUAAUGGAUGAAUAAUGAUUUGGAUGAUUGAUUUUAACAAGAAAAUGAGUGAAAGAUGAAGAAUUUUGAGAGAGAAAUGGAGAGUUACUGUUCACGCGCGAGAGAUGAUGAUGAAAUGAUGAAAAACAAGUGAAGAAAUCAUGAUGGAGAAGUGUUUAAUGAAGAUGAAAUGCAUGGGUAAUGGUUUAAGAGAUUGAUCUUGGCAUAAAAAUGGUUGAGAAAUGAAGAGGAAUUGAUUGGAAAUGGAAGAGGGUGGCUCACGGUUUUGAGAGAGAGGAAGAACAAGUGCAGAAAAAUAACGAAGGAAGGAGAAGCAAAACAAAAUCAGCCAAACCCGUAAACAGCUUGCCAGUUAGGCUUGAACCGGAAAUCCGGUUGUGACCAGCAAGUCCUUCACUCG